AUUGAACGCUGGCGGCAUGCUUUACACAUGCAAGUCGAACGGUAACAGGCCGCAAGGUGCUGACGAGUGGCGAACGGGUGAGUAAUGCAUCGGAACGUGCCCAGUCGUGGGGGAUAACUACUCGAAAGAGUAGGUAAUACCGCAUACGAUCUAUGGAUGAAAGCGGGGGACCGUAAGGCCUCGCGCGAUUGGAGCGGCCGAUGUCAGAUUAGGUAGUUGGUGGGGUAAAGGCUCACCAAGCCAACGAUCUGUAGCUGGUCUGAGAGGACGACCAGCCACACUGGGACUGAGACACGGCCCAGACUCCUACGGGAGGCAGCAGUGGGGAAUUUUGGACAAUGGGCGCAAGCCUGAUCCAGCAAUGCCGCGUGCAGGAAGAAGGCCUUCGGGUUGUAAACUGCUUUUGUACGGAACGAAACGGCUCUGGUUAAUACCCGGGGCUAAUGACGGUACCGUAAGAAUAAGCACCGGCUAACUACGUG
rnacentral:rRNA from 1 species